CCUACGGGGGGCAGCAGUGAGGAAUAUUGGUCAAUGGGCGAGAGCCUGAACCAGCCAAGUCGCGUGAGGGAAGACGGUCCUAUGGAUUGUAAACCUCUUUUGCCGGGGAGCAAAAAGCGGUACGUGUACCGCAUCGAGAGUACCCGGAGAAAAAGCAUCGGCUAACUCCGUGCCAGCAGCCGCGGUAAUACGGAGGAUGCGAGGGUUAUCCGGAUUUAUUGGGUUUAAAGGGUGCGCAGGCGGCGAGUUAAGUCAGCGGUAAAAUUUCGGGGCUCAACCCCGACAAGCCGUUGAAACUGGCUGGCUAGAGUGGGCGUGAAGUAUGCGGAAUGCGUGGUGUAGCGGUGAAAUGCAUAGAUAUCACGCAGAACUCCGAUUGCGAAGGCAGCAUACCGGCGCCCAACUGACGCUCAGGCACGAAAGCGUGGGUAUCGAACAGGAUUAGAUACCCCGGUAGUC
rnacentral:rRNA from 1 species